CUACGGGGGGCUGCAGUGAGGAAUUUUGCGCAUUGGGCGAAAGCCUGACGCAGCAACGCCGCGUGAGUGAUGAAGGCCUUCGGGUCGUAAAGCUCUGUCAAGUGGGAAGAACCUAUGUAAUGUUAAUAUCAUUAUAUACUGACGGUACCACUGAAGGAAGCACCGGCUAACUCCGUGCCAGCAGCCGCGGUAAUACGGGGGGUGCAAGCGUUAUUCGGAAUCAUUGGGCGUACAGGGCACGUAGGCGGCCUGGUAAGUCAGAUGUGAAAGCCCGGGGCUUAACCCCGGAAGUGCAUUUGAUACUGUCAGGCUUGAGUAUGGGAGAGGGAAGUGGAAUUCCUGGUGUAGAGGUGAUAUUCGUAGAUAUCAGGAGGAACACCGGUGGCGAAGGCGACUUCCUGGACCAAUACUGACGCUGAGGUGCGAAGGCGUGGGUAGCAAACAGGAUUAGAUACCCGAGUAGUC
rnacentral:rRNA from 1 species